rnacentral:rRNA from 1 species
UAGCCGUAAACUAUGCUCGCUAGGUGUCAGGCAUGGCGCGACCGUGUCUGGUGCCGCAGGGAAGCCGUGAAGCGAGCCACCUGGGAAGUACGGCCGCAAGGCUGAAACUUAAAGGAAUUGGCGGGGGAGCACAACAACGGGUGGAGCCUGCGGUUUAAUUGGACUCAACGCCGGACAACUCACCGGGGACGACAGCAAUAUGUAGGCCAGGCUGAAGACCUUGCCUGAAUCGCUGAGAGGAGGUGCAUGGCGUAGACGUCU